rnacentral:lncRNA from 1 species
GGGGAUGUUUGUGAUGGUGGUGUGGGUUUUUUUAUUGUUGUUUUGUUUUUAAUUUCAGAAAGCGCAGUAGAGAGAAUCACUGUACUGUCACUUAAAUUCCACCACUCUUCUUGAUUCACGAUCUUGCUUCUAGGUAUUAGAGCUGUUUGCUUUUUCACAUGCAGUCCUUGCUGAAGGGAUAGUGUGCUGCUGUUACACUGCUUUGUUGUGAUCAAUUGCUGCAUGCCAGAUGUCAACUGCCAAAGCAACACAUUGAAGUCAUCUGUGAUGAACAGUUCACCUGUCACAGGAUCUGUGCCAGUGUUGCAAUCAAACUGCUUCUGAAGAAACUCCUUAUACCUGGACUUGCUGGAGGCGAUGGACGAUUGCUUGGAGAUUCAAGGAGACUAACUUCUUCUACAGCCCAUCCUCUGCUCCAGGUGACUUUAGUAGCCCAUAAUAAGAUAAUGAGAUAAUAAAAGUGAUGUGUACUAACAUCCAGCUAAUGUAAAAUCACCUGAUGAUAUAACUGGAGACAAUUGUGAUGUUUGUAUUUCAAUCUAGUUAAACUUCUCUUUUCAUAUGCACUAAGUGAAAAUAAAUGGAGUUAUAAUCCUGUAAGAAGA